GCCAGCGUGAUGUAGUGGUUUGAGCAUUGGACUAUGACUCUGGAGACCAGGGUUCGAAUCCUGGCUUGGCC